rnacentral:rRNA from 1 species
GAUGAACGCUGGCGGCGUGCCUAAUACAUGCAAGUCGAACGCUUUGUCUUUAAUUGAUAUGCAGAGCUUGCUCUGAUUUGAUUUUAUCUGACAAAGAGUGGCGAACGGGUGAGUAACACGUGGGUAACCUACCUCUUAGCAGGGGAUAACAUUUGGAAACAAGUGCUAAUACCGUAUAACACUAACAACCGCAUGGUUGUUAGUUGAAAGAUGGUUCUGCUAUCACUAAGAGAUGGACCCGCGGUGCAUUAGCUAGUUGGUAAGGUAAUGGCUUACCAAGGCGAUGAUGCGUAGCCGAGUUGAGAGACUGAUCGGACACAAUGGGACUGAGACACGGCCCAUACUCCUACGGGAGGCAGCAGUAGGGAAUCUUCCACAAUGGGCGCAAGCCUGAUGGAGCAACGCCGCGUGUGUGAUGAAGGGUUUCGGCUCGUAAAACACUGUUAUAAGAGAAGAACGACAUUGAGAGUAACUGUUCAGUGUGUGACGGUAUCUUAUCAGAAAGGAACGGCUAAAUACGUG